rnacentral:rRNA from 1 species
AGUGAACGCUGGCGGUAGGCCUAACACAUGCAAGUCGAACGGCAGCACAGUAAGAGCUUGCUCUUACGGGUGGCGAGUGGCGGACGGGUGAGGAAUACAUCGGAAUCUACUUUUUCGUGGGGGAUAACGUAGGGAAACUUACGCUAAUACCGCAUACGACCUACGGGUGAAAGCAUGGGAUCUUCGGACCUUGCGCGAUUGAAUGAGCCGAUGUCGGAUUAGCUAGUUGGCGGGGUAAAGGCCCACCAAGGCGACGAUCCGUAGCUGGUCUGAGAGGAUGACCAGCCACACUGGAACUGAGACACGGUCCAGACUCCUACGAGAGGCAGCAGUGGGGAAUAUUGGACAAUGGGCGCAAGCCUGAUCCAGCCAUACCGCGUGGGUGAAGAAGGCCUUCGGGUUGUAAAGCCCUUUUGUUGGGAAAGAAAAGCAGCAGGUUAAUACCCCGCUGUUCUGACGGUACCCAAAGAAUAAGCACCGGCUAACUUCGUG